AUUGAACGCUGGCGGUAGGCCUAACACAUGCAAGUCGAGCGGAUGCAGGGAGCUUGCUCCUGGAUUCAGCGGCGGACGGGCGAGUAAUGCCUAGGAAUCUGCCUGGCAGUGGGGGAUAACGUCCGGAAACGGGCGCUAAUACCGCAUACGUCCUGAGGGAGAAAGUGGGGGAUCUUCGGACCUUACGCUAUCAGAUGAGCCGAGGUCGGAUUAGCUAGUUGGUGGGGUAAAGGCCUACCAAGGCGACGAUCCGUAACUGGUCUGAGAGGAUGAUCAGUCACACUGGAACUGAGACACGGUCCAGACUCCUACGGGAGGCAGCAGUGGGGAAUAUUGGACAAUGGGCGAAAGCCUGAUCCAGCCAUGCCGCGUGUGUGAAGAAGGUCUUCGGAUUGUAAAGCACUUUUGUUUGGGAAGAAGAGCAGUAGGUUAAUACCUUGCUGUUUUGACGGUACCAACAGAAUAGGCACCGGCUAACUUCGUG
rnacentral:rRNA from 1 species